AAUCCAUGAUAUUUUCAUGAUUUCCAACCUACAAUUAAUAAAGAUUGUUUCCCUUUGAUAUUCACCAUUUUCUCUUAACAUAUUCGAUCUUGACUAUACAGGAGCUGUUUGUUUAUCAUGGAAUGGAACAUUCUAUGGGAAAAGGGACAACUUCUAUUUUUCAGCUGCACAAGUUAAACAUAUACGUGCAGAAAGCGAGCUUCCACACA
rnacentral:lncRNA from 1 species